AUGAAAAUUGAGAGCAAAUUUAAUAUUUAUUAGAUUAUUUGAAGUUAAAGUGGUUCUCGCGCCUCACGCUUCACUCUCGCCGUUCACCCUCACUCUCUCACUCUCAAGUACGAAAUUGGGGAUAAUAGUUACCACCCAAUUGGUUUUUGUGUUUUGAUGCAUACCUUCCACGUGCUCAUUUCGAAGAUCUACUUUCACAAAUUGCUUUUGUAGUGGUUUCCAUUUUUAUUAUUUGGCUGAUAUGUAAAUGCAAAUGCAAAGUUAAUUUGUUACGGCAAUAGUUAAUGGCUUAAUGCAAUGCUGAUUUGCAAAGUUAAUUUAUUACAAAGAAUGGCAAUAGUUGAUGCAAUGCUGACAUGCAAAGGUGAGGCUUUGUCCUUCAUUGCUAAUUUGAUCAGAAUCUUCAAUUGCUUCAACAAAUGUAUCACACUCUCUUUGUAGUUAAUUUAUUACAAAGAAUGGCAAUAAUUGAUGCAAUGCU